CCCUAGCCCUGAUAGAAGGGAAAAUCCUUUUUUAUUCGCCGCGGCGGAUAAAAAAGAUUGGAAUGAUAGCAGGAAAUAGC
rnacentral:sRNA from 4 species